UUUUUCUAUUGUCUUCCUGUUUUAUUCGCCGAUUUUUAAAUGAACCGUGUGUUUAUGUAUAUUUUAUGAUUAAUCGUGGUGUUUUCUGGAUUAAGAUUCUCGCCAAACAAUGGGUUAAAUUUUACCACUGAAAUAUUCGUUAAUAUGGCAUUGAAUACCCGUUAAAUGCCAUAGAAUCGGAGACGUUAAUAUCAGCAAAAUAUCCAGUAAAGAAACAAAAAUCAGGAUGAAAAUCCCCCACUUAAAUAUCGAUAGAGGCAGAGAAGAUAUUUUUACUAUAAUAGAAGAAACAUUCUUCAACAUUGCUACACAUUAAUGUAGAAAAAAUUUCAACGAACACUAAAUUAGAGAAGAUGGUGCCUGGGGGAGACCAUCACUGUCGUUGGGAAGGCAAACGGCGCUCACACAUUUGAUUCAAUUGUGUUACUAUGGUAACGAACAUAGUGAAGCGGUGCUGCCUCCAGCAGAGAACGUUGAAAGUAUGAAAGAAAGAUGACAGCAAUAUCUGCACAAUGUCUAUUGUUUCCCUUCCGUUUAUUGUAAAUUUUUAUAGUUCUUUUGCAAUAGUUUCGCUGCCGGUAAGCCGAGUCAGAUGAAAUAUAAAAAGGUUAAGAAAUGUUUCUGCUGAAUUUACAAGUGUGUGAGAUGCCGAGGUUAAUUUUUUUCGAUCUGGUUCAUUGCCUUGUCAUUGUGAUGGUGUAAUAGCUGGUGUGGUGCUGUGGAUGAUGAUGCCACCAAGACUAAUGAUCCUUUAUAUCCAGUCUAACAUGUGGUCUCCUUACAACUAAAAUCAUGACUCAAACCAGCUUUAUCCUUUCUACUCUUUAAGAAUAUAAGAAGAGAAUACUUGAAGAUUAUUUUUGCUUUUUUCUUUAAUAAAUAUUGUUUUAAGACUGUUACCAUUUAUACCUAAAUGACUAAAGACGUAUUAUUUACUUAUCCGAAUAAACAUUUUAAUUAUAAUAUAUUUUAAACGGUUUAUUUAAGUUAAACGCUUGUCUGAUUAUUCAAAUUUUUAAAUUUAAUCACGUCGAUGACGUUUUGAAAUGUGAUUGGUUAUCGCUUGCAAACGUCGAGCGAAGAUAAUGUCUUUUAACGAAACAGUUUUGCUAUUAUUCAGUCACGUGACUGAGUUUAAUAAAUGUAAUUGGUAGUCAUUUGCAACUAU